rnacentral:lncRNA from 1 species
AUGACCAAAACGGACCUUCUUUGUAGAAUCCAUCUUCAGAAUGUUGCCGAAGAUAGACGUGACCCUGGCCUUGGUCGCCUCCAGCCUAGACAGGGCGUCCCUGACAAAGACGGAGAGGAGCCAGCCCACGGUGGGCACCGGGUGCAGGGGUGGGACAGUCACCGGCUUGACUGCUGCACCCGCUACGCCCAGCUUCUUCAGCACCCCGAGGUACGUUGCAGUGCAGGACAUCCAGGUCUCUGUGUGGUCCUCCAUCAGCUGUUUGCGAAGGCGGGUCGCACUGUUGCCCAAAGUCCGCUGCCUCAUCUGCGAGAUCACCGACUUGUGGCAGGACAGCCUGAAAGGGAGCACAACAAGUCAACGGUUGAAAUCCUGACCCGACACGCCUCUUUACGUUUAUAUGUAGGCGUCUCACAGGCUCAGCACUUACUUGUAGGUGAGUACAGCCGGGAAUUGAUUCCGGUGACCCGGGUCCAACUGAUUGAUGAUGUCCGGGACCCAGGCGGCCAUCUUCUUCCCACAGGAACGACAUUCCAGGCACUCUGUGCCCAUAAAGUACCAGCCGUCCCUGUCCAGAACCCUGCGCACCGUCUUGUGCAGUCCUGCGCCGGUCAGCUUCGUGUCACAGCUGGGGCACACAAGCCUGCACGCCCACAUCUUGUAGGGCAGCCACAGGAAGAACGGCCUCUGGAAGAAGGCGUGGGACGAUGCAGGGGUCUGGGUGUAGAGGGGCCGGGCUCCGGGAGGGUACCACCAGAGGCGAAGGUCGGUGGUGAGGACACGCUGGCCCCUGGCGUUCCUGGUGAACAGAGCCCGGCCCACCCAGUCCUGCUGCUCCUCCGGCAGAGUCUGCCUCCAGCUGUGAGGCAGCAGCUUCAACACAGAAACAGACAAAAGGGUUUAGGACAGCCCUCAGCUGCGGCUGCAGCUCUGGUCCUGGGCCGCACGGCGACGCCGCUGUCACCACUGGAAGACAGGUCCAGGUCAUCGACUGGCACAGGAGUGGAGGCUGAAGAUGGGACCUCUGCAAAAAUAACUAAAAGUAAUCAGAGUCAUGCAAAUACUCAGACAUGA